GAUGAACGCUGACAGAAUGCUUAACACAUGCAAGUCAACUGUGGCGGACGGGUGAGUAACGCGUAAAGAACUUGCCUCACAGUUAGGGACAACAUUUGGAAAAGAAUGCUAAUACCUGAUACUGUGAGAGAGCUUUGCGUCCCAUUAGCUAGUUGGAGAGGUAACGGCUCACCAAGGCGAUGAUGGGUAGCCGGCCUGAGAGGGUGAUCGGCCAACAGGGGACUGAGACACGGCCCUUACUCCUACGGGAGGCAGCAGUUGGGAAGAUUGGACAAUGGACCAAAGUCUGAUCCAGAAAUGUUGUGUGUACGAUGAAGUUUUCGGAAUGUAAAGUGCUUUCAGUUGGGAAGCGGUACCAACAGAAGAAGUGACGGCUAAAUACGUGCCAGCCGCCGCGGUAAUUC
rnacentral:rRNA from 1 species